GAGGACGUUCUCUAAACUUCCACGGACUUCUCCUCUCCCCAAGAAACUUUCUAAAACCCUUCUCCAGGACUCUCGAAGAACCUCCCCGUCCCCCUCUCUCCGAAUCCAAAUCUGUCGCCGAGAAGCUCUCGCCAUGGUAGGCAAGGCCGCCACUACGAGGCUCGCACGGUCCGCUUACGCCGCGGCCCGUGGCCGCUACUCCCCGCACUCCUCCCUUCGCGUUCUCUCCUCUCCCUCCCGGCCUAUCAUCGGGCGUCUCGGUGCUCCAUCCCCGCCCUCCGUCGGAGGCAGAGAUUUGAUCGGAGCUCCGGGCUCUAUCGGGAGCUUGGAGAAGGGCUUCCUCUGGCGCCAGUUCCACUCGACUACUCCUCAGUCCAGCUAUGGAAGCUCCUCUCAGGUAUUUCUUCUGAUCAUUUAUUUUUCUGGAAUUGGA
rnacentral:lncRNA from 1 species